rfam:Caenorhabditis briggsae complete genome, chrX
UUGUGACCGUUGUUACGGUCAAUUCAUGUCUGACACAAUGACCGUAAUCCCGUUCACAACA